rnacentral:rRNA from 1 species
GACGAACGCUGGCGGCGUGCUUAACACAUGCAAGUCGAACGGAAAGGCCCCCUUGUGGGGUACUCGAGUGGCGAACGGGUGAGUAACACGUGAGUAACCUACCCUUUACUUUGGGAUAACUUCAGGAAACUGGGGCUAAUACCGGAUAGGAGCUCCUGCUGCAUGGUGGGGGUUGGAAAGUUUCGGCGGUUGGGGAUGGACUCGCGGCUUAUCAGCUUGUUGGUGGGGUAGUGGCUCACCAAGGCUUUGACGGGUAGCCGGCCUGAGAGGGUGACCGGCCACAUUGGGACUGAGAUACGGCCCAGACUCCUACGGGAGGCAGCAGUGGGGAAUAUUGCACAAUGGGCGGAAGCCUGAUGCAGCAACGCCGCGUGCGGGAUGACGGCCUUCGGGUUGUAAACCGCUUUCGCCUGUGACGAAGCGUGAGUGACGGUAAUGGGUAAAGAAGCACCGGCUAACUACGU